rnacentral:rRNA from 1 species
UGGGUUAAGUCCCGCAACGAGCGCAACCCUUGCCAUUAGUUGCUACGAAAGGGCACUCUAAUGGGACUGCCGGUGACAAACCGGAGGAAGGUGGGGAUGACGUCAAGUCCUCAUGGCCCUUAUAGGUGGGGCUACACACGUCAUACAAUGGCUGGUACAAAGGGUUGCCAACCCGCGAGGGGGAGCUAAUCCCAUAAAGCCAGUCGUAGUCCGGAUCGCAGUCUGCAACUCGACUGCGUGAAGUCGGAAUCGCUAGUAAUCGUGGAUCAGCAUGUCACGGUGAAUACGUUCCCGGGUCUU